rnacentral:lncRNA from 1 species
CCACGCAGGAGGCCACGUGGGUGAUCCCCGUGCUUGGACGAUCCACGGUCCAAAUCGCAUCCUGCUCGCACGAACGAUCCAGAUUUAUUUUUUUUCAAACGUGAUCGGAAAAAUGAUAUUGAUCGUGAUGGACGGUCCUUAUUCGCACAUGCGAUCAACCUAAACAGGCAAUCGUCAGACAACUCUACUCACUCCACGUCGGCUCGAACAGGCGACCUGGAUCGAAUGAAGAUGAGUAUUUAAACUCCUCUUCGCAGAGAACCGAAACCCUGGCUGAUAGAGGAGUGACCGGAGAAGAAGAAAAAAGGGUGGUCGAGUAAAGAACUAGAUGCUGGAGAAGGAGACCGGCCACCGUUGUUGCCGCAUCGGAGCCACCCUCAACAUUGAAACAAGU